rnacentral:rRNA from 1 species
UACGGAGGAUGCAAGCGUUAUCCGGAUUUAUUGGGUUUAAAGGGUGCGCAGGUUGUUUGAUAAGUCAGAGGUGAAAGUCUGUCGCUUAACGGUAGGAUUGCCAUUGAUACUGUUGGACUUGAAUAUGGAUGAGGUAGGCGGAAUGUGUAGUGUAGCGGUGAAAUGCAUAGAUAUUACACAGAACACCGAUUGCGAAGGCAGCUUACUAAUCCAUCAUUGACGCUGAGGCACGAAAUCGUGGGGAUCAAACAGGA